GGAGAGAGGGAGAGAGAGAGAGUGAUGGAAAAGAAAACCAUUCGAUGCACGAAUUGAAGGCACUGCUACUAAUUAAUUAAUUCCACAUAGAAUCUCGGUGUUUUGCAAUGUUGAGCUAUAUUAUUAUGCUUUUAACUUGAGCUUUGUUUGCCUGUUGGCCACGUUUGGUGUCAAUAUUGCAAGUCUUUUUUAACACAAAAGCAACACCCACUGCAAAUUAUCCGGGCUACAGAGCCGGCGGCGGUAGUAUUGUGCACUUCUUCCCAUUCAACCGUGCGAGCGCCCCAAUCAGUCGACGUGCUGUGGCAUCACCUCAGUGUCAGAUAUUCUUCUCAUCCAGUUGCGUUUCAGCACGUCUGAGGUGUUUGCUCACACAGGCAGCACACUCACUCACAGAAAUUCUUUGGCAAAUAAGUGCGGUGUGUGGAAUUGUGGCAGAGAAGAGUGGGACAAGCACGUGAAACAGAACAAGGACAAAGAUGAAGCUACUACUAAAGGUACAUCGGCGAGAAUCUGACAAUCGUCGUCGAUCUGGUCUGAAUGUUAAUGCAAAUCACACACAUCCAACUCCCGUGGACACGUCCUCGAAAUAUUCUUCAAGUGCUGUGUCAGUUCCGAGUAGCAGUCACGUCAAAUCUCAGAAUCUCCCCUAUAUUUCACUUAUUCUUCUUGUACUGUUGGGAUGUGCUCUUGGUCUCACCUACGUCUUCCAGCGAUUUCUCCAAGAAACGGAAAUUCCCACACGAUGAAAGGAAAACUCCUUGAGAGACUUUCCUCCAUACCACAUACAUUAAUUGCCAUCAAUUAGCAUCAUUAUAUUCUUCGAAAAAGGAACUUUAUCGUGAUAUAUGUAUAUUUGAAUGGGAAACAGCUUCCUGUGACCUCUAACUGUUUGCAGCUCUUUUUUAUAAAUACACUUAAAACCUAUACCCAUGUAACCACAUUCACCUUUUUAUAUUACUUAAGAUGGGUAAGGAAAUAAAGAUGAGUUUAUAUAUAAAAAAAA